rnacentral:rRNA from 1 species
AGGACGAACGCUGGCGGCGUGCCUAACACAUGCAAGUCGAACGAGAAUCGAUGGAUUGCGGCUUCGGCCAAAUGAAGUUGAGGAAAGUGGCGAACGGGUGAGUAACGCGUGAGAAACCUGCCUUUCAGUGGGGGACAACAGUUGGAAACGACUGCUAAUACCGCAUAACACUUUAGUACCGCAUGGUACAGAAGUCAAAGCUUUAUGUGCUGAGAGAUGGUCUCGCGUCUGAUUAGCUAGAUGGCGGGGUAACGGCCCACCAUGGCGACGAUCAGUAGCCGGUCUGAGAGGAUGAACGGCCACAUUGGGACUGAGAUACGGCCCAGACUCCUACGGGAGGCAGCAGUGGGGAAUAUUGGGCAAUGGGGGAAACCCUGACCCAGCAACGCCGCGUGAAGGAAGAAGGCCUUCGGGUUGUAAACUUCUUUUACCAGGGACGAAGAACGUGACGGUACCUGGAGAAAAAGCCACGGCUAACUACGUG